GCGCAGCAGGCGAGAAACCUUCGCAAUGCGCGAAAGCGCGACGAGGGGACUCCGAGUGCCUAUGCUCAGCAUAGGCUGUUCACCGGUGUAAAAGCCGGUGGAGGAAGGGGUGGACAAGACUGGUGCCAGCCGCCGCGGUAAUACCAGCGCCCCAAGUGGUGAUCGAUAUUAUUGGGUCUAAAACGUCCGUAGCCGGCCCGGUAAAUCUCCGGGUAAAUCGUCCAGCUUAACUGGUCGAAUUCUGGGGAGACUGCCGGGCUUGGGACCGGGAGAGGUCGGAGGUACUCCAAGGGUAGGGGUGAAAUCCUGUAAUCCCUGGGGGACCACCGGUGGCGAAGGCGUCCGACUAGAACGGGUCCGACGGUAAGGGACGAAGGCUAGGGGAGCAAAACGGGAUUAGAUACCCCCGUAGU
rnacentral:rRNA from 1 species